rnacentral:ncRNA from 1 species
GCGUAUUUUGCUCAGGCGGAACUCGACCGCCCGUUCAGGAAAUGAUUCCAUUCAUUGAAGAUUACCGCAUGGACUUUGGUGUCGGGUCGAUCUGCAAGAUUUUGCGGGUUGCACC